rnacentral:rRNA from 1 species
CGGUGCGCCUUAUGCAUGCAAGUUGAGCGAAGCUUUUUGGUAGUUUACUACUAGAAAUGACUGAGCGGCGAACGGGUGAGUAACGCGUGAGCAAUCUACCUUAGUUACUGGGAUAGCCCGAGGAAACUCGGAUUAAUACCGGAUAUUCUUAUUUUUUCACAUGAAGUUUUAAGGAAAGGUCAGCCGAACUAAGAUGAGCUCGCGUUCUAUCAGCUAGUUGGUGGGGUAAAAGCCUACCAAGGCUACGACGGAUAGCUGGUCUGAGAGGACGAUCAGCCACACUGGGACUGAGACACGGCCCAGACUCCUACGGGAGGCUGCAGCAGGGAAUAUUGUGCAAUGAGCGAAAGCUUGACACAGCGACACCGCGUGUGGGAUGACGGUUCUAGGAUUGUAAACCACUUUCAGGAGGGAAGAAAAUGACGGUACCUCCACAAGAAG